rnacentral:rRNA from 1 species
GAUGAACGCUGGCGGCGUGCCUAAUACAUGCAAGUCGAGCGAACGGACGAGGAGCUUGCUUUUCUGAUGUUAGCGGCGGACGGGUGAGUAACACGUGGAUAACCUACCUAUAAGACUGGGAUAACUUCGGGAAACCGGAGCUAAUACCGGAUAAUAUUUUGAACCGCAUGGUUCAAAAGUGAAAGACGGUCUUGCUGUCACUUAUAGAUGGAUCCGCGCUGCAUUAGCUAGUUGGUAAGGUAACGGCUUACCAAGGCAACGAUGCAUAGCCGACCUGAGAGGGGGAUCGGCCACGCGGGAGCUGAGACACGGGCCAGACUCCGACGAGAGGCAGGAGUAGGGAAGCUGCCGCAAUGGGCGAAAGCCUGACGGAGCAACGCCGCGUGAGUGAGGAAGGCCUUCGGAUCGUAAAACUCUGUUAUUAGGGAAGAACAUAUGUGUAAGUAACGGUGCACAUCUGGACGGUACCUAAUCAGAAAGCCACGGCUAACUACGG